GCAUGGGAGUUCCUCUCAAAGUUAGGUGAUCUUAGCCAAACUCUGAUUUUGCCAAAAUUGAGAAUGUGGAGGGCUUGAACCAUUUUGAUGAGAUCCUGGAAGAAGCAGAUGGUAUAAUUCUGUCAAGAGGAAACUUUGGAAUUGAUCUUCCACCUGAAAAGAUGUUCUUAUUUCAGAAGUCUGCUCUGCACAAGUGCAACAUGGCUGGAAAGCCUGCUGUUGUUACUCAUGUUGUGGACAGUAUGACGGACAACCUAAGGCAUGCUCGCGUGGAGGCAACUGAUGUGGCAAAUGCGGUGCUGGACGCUACCGAAGUGAAGAAUUCUGCGGGUUGCUACUGCACAAAAGAAAAACCAGGAAUUG